rnacentral:misc_RNA from 1 species
GAACUGUGUAAGCAGUGCCUGUAGCUGUGGCUUCGAAAGUAAGGCUUUGUUGUUACUUAUGUUGGGUAUUUUUAAGCCAUAUAUUUCUCUACGAAAAAUUUGUGAAUCUCAACAGUUUGAUAGCAAAUAUUUAAUGAAUUGCUGUGAGACGUAGACGUCAAAAAAAGGAUGGAGGAAACCGAGAGCAAUUUUAAGGAGCUGUUGGUGGAUUUUUCAAGAUGGUAUGAUGGACUUGGAUACAUCAAUAUGCUGAAAGUUCUGUACACAGAUCAUGUGCCAGAUUAUACUGAUUUAAUUGGAGCUACUAAGGGGAUGCCCUUGCUGCAAAAGUUAAUUGGUUCAGGGAAUUUGAGUUCAACAAAUCUCGGUAUCCUGUACGACACAAUAAAAGUAACUGGGCAAUUUGGCUUCAAAUCCAAAAUUGUACUUCAACCUUUACAAAGACUCGAGGAACAUAAAGUGUCUAAAUUCACGCGAUACAAACAAUUCCUGUUAAAACUCGGAAUGAAACUGACUAGAGAAGAUAUAGACAUGCUUGAUGCACGACAUAAUGACAUGCCUUUGUUAAAAGAUUAUAAAGACAGCUGGCAUUUGAUACUGCAUCUAGAGCAAAGGAAGGGGCUUUGUGAAGAAAACAUUGGAAAUUUCAUUGAAGGAUUACCAAGUUACUUGGCUGUGAAAGCUUUACUUGAAGACUAUUGUGCUGUGUUCUACUGUAGCUAUGUAUGCUGUUCACAUUCUCAAUUUUUGGUUUCUUGUGCAGAUAGCAGAGAAGCAUCAACAUCGAAACGACCAAUGUUAAGUGAAGGUAAUGAAGAACCAUCAACAUCAAAACGACCAAAGUUAAAUGAAGGAUUCCCAAGCAUAUCUGCAAACUCUGCUGGGCUUAGUGAUGAAGAGAAGGUUAUUAGAGAAUAUCUACUAAGUAGACAACUGAGAGUGUGCCGCACUGCCAGAUGGUUUACACCAGCAACUUGGAAUAAUGCAUACCAUUUAGACAUUGCUGACAUGUUCACUGACCUAGACUUACUCAAAGAAGGUAAAAACAGACAGAAGGAAGAUGCCAAGCCAACAACGUUGAAGAAGGUUUUAGAUAUUAUAAAAUCAACACCUGCAUGUAAAGUUCUAAUAGAAGGUGAGGGCGGUAUUGGCAAAUCAACCCUCCUCAGGUGCUAUGAAUGAUGUGGUUGGAGAGUGUUCUAGUAGAAGAGUCAAGUUGGAAUUAGAGAGGCUUGAUAUUUUUGAAUCUUGACCUGAGGAGUUGCAGUCUAUCAGGUAAUAUUAAAAAGGAUAUGGUUAGAGAGUGUUCUAAGAGGGGAGUCGAGUUGGAAGUGUAACAGUCAAGUAAGUGCAAUUAAUGAUAUGAUUACAGAGAGUGUUUCAAUGGAAGAAUGAAGUUGGAAUUACAGUAGCUGUAUAUCAGUGCUAAUAAUUCUUAUUAACAUUUGGGGAUUUUUUAAAUUUGUAUCCUUGUCAGGCAUGAGGGAAUUUCAUAUUUUUCACUUGUCCCCGGACAAGUGCCUUUGAAAAAUGCACUUGUCCUGAAGACAAUUGUACUUGUCCCAAAUUAUUGCACAAUAAUCAUAAAAACUAACACAAAAGUAAAGUACUGUAUUUUUGCUAAUUAAUAGGUCUACAUGCAUACUGCAUUUGAUCACGCAAAAAUGUUUUUCUUUCUGUUUUUAAUUUGCAAACAAUUUAAUAAUGUAUAAUAUGGAGAAAUUCAAAUAAAAUAAACAAUAAUAUUCUAUGUAUGUAGGAGUUUGUUGAUCGUUUGCUUAUUGCAUGUUUAAAAGUCGUCAACACUACAACUGCAAGUAAAUAUUUCAUAGGCAUGGCUGAUUCCCACGAUACACAGGUUCUCAGCCAUACGCUGACAGGACUGUGUUUUAUGACGUUAUUUGGGUGGAGUGAGGGUGGGGUGGCCAUACCGUUACGUGUGUACUCGUUUGCAAAUUUUAAUCAAUUAUAAUACUAACUUCAAAUUGGUUUUUUUCUCCGGAGGAUACAAAAAUCUAAUUCAAAUUGCACGGGAAAACCCCUAGAAAAAUAGAGGCUCAGAAUCAUAAAUACUUGUGUUCCCACUAUCAUGGAGGUAUCCCAAAAUGUCUGCAAAAUAUCUGUGGAAAUCAGUUCAUAUUUUCAAAAUGCAGCGUCGGAUUUCUGACCCUAAUAUUUUACAGGGGGAAUAUUUUACAGCGUGACACAUCCUCAUUUCAUCUAUUGCAAAAUGAAUAAAAUUGCUUACCUCUCAACAAAAGAAAAGCAUAUAACUCUGAGCAUGGGCCGAGGGGAUAAAUUCCUUAUAUAGAAUCCCUGAGACGGCAACAUUUUUGAAAGAGUAAAAUGAUUCAUUUAUAGGCCCUAAACCCUCAAUUUUUAACUCCAGUUUUACAAGAAUUGGAUUUUGUAUGCACAUUAUCUCCAUCACUUAAAAGUGAAUGAUUUUCUAAUUACUUAACAACCUUACAUUCCAAAUUAACUACCCUUGCUUGGUCUGUCUAGAUUGGCUUCCCCACACACACAAACGAAAUAGACUAGGCCUUUUUGGCUGUUGUUCAUAUUCGUACUAGAAAGUAAUUACUAGCCUUGAAGUCCAGACAUUUCAUGUCGUCCAACUCAACUAAUCAACUGAUGGCUGUGCGCCCUAGUCUUUAAAAAUGUCUGGUACUUAGACCUGACCAAUGCAAAUUUGUAUUGUAAACAGACUACGUGCAGCUGGCCCAGGCUGCUAAUGGCUAACAUGUAUGAUAUCGUGCAAAAAUAUGUACCUGCUGUAGGUCUAAUGUGUACACAUACAACAGAUCUGACUUACAUUUAACAAUUAAGAAUUUAUUUUCAAUCUUUACUGCAGAAAAUAACAAAUUUUAUAUUGAGUAAUCCUACAUUUUUUCUUUUAAACCGUCAAUAAAUCGCGGGAGUGUUGGUGACUCAAAGUUCAUGUUAGCCAACCUAAUUGUGAUGAAUAGCUCCUAAUUGCUUUGAUAUAUUUAUUUCAGUACCUCUGAUGUUAUAAAGUAUCUUCAGAGAAUUGUCCUAAGGCCACUGCUUGGCCAAACACAAUUAUUUCUAGACCCUUUACAAUUUGCCUAUUGAAGUAACGGAAGUGUAGAAGUUGCUGUUCUCUUUCAUUAAUACAGUAUUUAUCAACAUUUAGAUGCACCACGGUCUUAUGUAAGGUGCCUCUAUAUUGAUUUCUCAAGUAUGCAUUCAGUACAGUUGACCCAGAAUUACUUGUACCGAAUCUUAAGGAAAUGAAUGUAAAUGACACUCUCACUUUAUGGAUAUAUGAUUUCUUGAUGAACAGGCCCCAGUACAGUAUGUAAAAGUAAAUGAUAUUCUUCCUGAGAAAAGAGCUCAAGGAUCAGUUAUAUCCCCAGUGUUGUUCUCGCUUUUCACCAGCAAGUUUAGGGCUAAUUCUUAGCAGCGUUUAAUAAUUAAACAUGCAGAUGACACGGCCAUCUCAGGCUAUAUCACACAGGAUCUAAUGAAACAAUGUAUUGGAAAUUAGGGCAGGAUUUCACAGACUGGUGUCAUAAUAACUUAAAAUUGAAUGUAGAUAAAACAAGAGAAAUGGUUAUUGACUUCAGGAAAAAAACCAGAUCCACCAGAAAUUAUAUCAUUGAAAGGGUUCAAGAAUAUUAAAAUAGCUUGGCUGUGUAAUUGAUGAUAAAUGAAAAUGGAAUAAGAAUCUUGAAGAAAAUGAAAUAUCUCGAUAUUGAUAGUACCAUACUUUAAACUUUUUUAUGUCUGGGUAAUCCGCAGUGUAAUCCACAGUGUAAUCCGCAGUGUUGUAGUGUACUGUUUCAUUUGGUAUUGUGGUAACAUCAUGCAGAAAGAUAAAAAGAUCCUUAAUCAAAUAAAUAAGAGAGCAAACAAAUUGAUAUGUGAAAAUUUAAUUGAUAUUGAAAUAUUGUAUAUUGAACAAGUUAGGAAGAAAAUCAAUAGCAUUAUGUGUGAUGGAAUCCACCCCUAUAUGAUAAUUUUGUGGUUGCUAACUCUGGUCUGAGACUACUACCACCACGAACAAAGACAAAACGUUUUAGCAAUUCUUUUAUACCAAACUCAACUCAUAUAUACAUCUCCAAGGUCAAUAGGUAAAUGAGGGUAAUUUUAAUUAUUGUUUGAUAAUAUCUUAAUUUUGUAAUUAUUUAAAAAAAAUCUUAAUGAUGUAAAAUUUUAAUCUUGUUAAUAUAAUAUAUAAUAUUAAUAAUUUU